AAGCACUUGAAUCACAAGAUGAAGGAAAACCACCCGCUUGCCAACCAGGACCACUGGAUUGGCCUAGAAUCUGAAGGGCAUCUGGUGGAGGACUCCAAGUCCUGAGGAAACGGGGACGCUACCAGGUCUGGUGGAUCCUAGGUACCUGAAGAAUGGCACAACUCCUUGCUGACCCACAUCAAACAUAAUGAGAUGAUGGAUGCUAAGUGAACUUAUUGAGGUAAUCAUUUCACAAUACAUGUCUCAGCUGGAACAAACAGGAAAUAUUCCUGGCAGUAGUGAACAACAUCACGGACACAAAAG